AGUGCAGCCCCGUCACCGUGGAGCGGAGGAGCCUGACCUCAGGUGGGCGCCUGGCCCAAGCUGCAGUGCUUCCUGUCCCAGAUGCAAGAAAACUUAUUUCCUCUGGGUCCCUAUCCUGCUCUUCUUACCUCGCUGCAGAGCAGGGCAGGGCGCACAGGCCCCACCAAGAGGCCGGAGAGAUGGGGAGCUGUGGUGUGCACCGCCUCUCGGUCUGUGUGACGGAUGAGCGGAGGGUUGCUGCUGUUGGAGAGAGGGACGAGGGCCACUUGAUGUCCGUCCACUGGGCCUAGGGCUUUGUGAACACAGCAGAGGCUGGCCAUCCCACUGCGG
rnacentral:lncRNA from 1 species